AGGCCCGUAGCUCAGACUGGUUAGAGCGCUACCUUGACACGGUAGAGGUCUGGGGUUCGAGUCCCCACGGGCCUACCA
rnacentral:tRNA from 1 species